AAAAACAUUAACUUGGGCAAUACUCAGACACUUGGUAGAUUCUAUAUACACUGUACAUGGAGUAAAGAAAAUAAUUAAGGGCUUUGAAGAGAAGAAACAGUCAUUUCAUUGAGCAAAGACAAAACAGCUCAAGAUAUCGUGGGAAAUGGACUGAAGUGUAAGUGUGCUGUCCCCCUGUGAAGCAAACCUACUUCUGGUGCAAGUGGCUUGUAUGUCUUCAUGAUCUACCACCCUCGAAAAGAGAACAGAGAUACUCGAACUGAGGUUACAGCAGGAAAGUACUCUUGUGUGAAUCCUCAUUUAUCCUUUUGUAAUAAAUAGCUUGCACAUCAAA